GACAGAGGCCUCGAGCGUUAGGCGGAAUCACUGGGCUUAAAGCGUGUGUAGGCGGACGCCUAAGUACCUUGUGAAAUCCCACGGCUCACCCGUGGAACCGCUGGGUAUACUGGGCGUCUUGGGCCAUUCAGGGGCAACUGGAACAAGCGGUGGAGCGGUGAAAUGCGUAGAGAUCGGGAGGAACAUCUGUGGCGAAGGCGACUGCCUGGACCAGCACUGACACUGAGGCACGAAAGCGUGGGGAGCAAACAGG
rnacentral:rRNA from 1 species